CUUUCUUUCUGGAACUUGUAGUAUUAGUCUGGGUCCUCCAGGAAGGAGAUGCCAGGACAGGAUGAAACAUGAGAGGAUUUUGUUAAGGGAGAUGGUGGUGAGAGAGUGUGGGGAGGAAUCUAAGGGAGGCUGGGGGCUGGGGCAGCAAGUCUGACCCCUGCGAAAGAGAGAGGGAGGGAGGGUUGGAGGGUGCACCUCGUAGGGGACAGCUGUCACGGAGCUGAAGCCCCAUCAGAGAGCCUACCUCUUCCAAGAACUGGCCUGCCUUGGUGCUCUGCCUCACUCAGUGACUAGGAGCAGCCCACAGACUGUGUGCUUGGAGCAGAGGCUGUGGAGGGCCUCAGCAGCUGCAGCUGCAAGUUGGCCAGGUCCAGCGGCGGGAUGCUCCAGGUCCAGUCUGAGGAGUAAAUGCUGGGCGUGUAACCUCAUCAGUGUUGGGAACCUGGUGAGGCUACACAGCACAGAGGGGCCGGACUGCAUCAGGGAAAGAGGAGUUGGGCUGUCUUCUCAUUGUCACACACAAUCCCACCAUGGAGGACUCAGGCUGUCUCAUGGCUACAGAGGUAGUGAAGCAGUUGCCAGGCGCCACAGCAGGAACGGAAUUUCUCCGUGAAGACAGUGCUGUCUGCUGGAUCACAAGAGUCAAAGACACGCCUUCAGCCCACACAGGUGGGGAGGCUCAGAAUGCCUGCCCCCUAGGGCCUCCACGCUGGACAUUGGGUCAGGGAAGCCCCCUUUCCUGAGUUGUUCUGUGGGACUCCAAAGGGCCUCCUGCCAAGCUCUCUGACAGUUCACAUCCCAUCUGAAGAGCCUCAUGCACCAGUCCAGGGCCUCUGAGAAGCAGAUGCCAAGAGGGGAUUAAAAAUGCCAAGAUUUUGUUGGAGGAGAUGCCCAGGUGAGGAAAGUCAGAGGGAGGCUGUCUGAGGAGUUUUCAGACCAGGACUCAGGGCAGACCCUGAGGGGAGGAGGGAGAGCAGGUUGGGAGGAUGCAUCCUAGACUGCCAUGGAGUCUAAGGAAGAUUCCACGGCCGUGCAAGAGUGCUCCAGCCAAAGGCACCCUUGGAGGAGCCCACCUCUCCCGGGGACUGCCUCCCUUCAUGUCCUCCUGUGCUCAGUCCCUUCAGAGUGCAGCCCCUUUGGCCUUGGACACUUCCUCUCCCUGCGUUUCGUUGGGCUGCAGGGCGUGUUCUCCUGGCCUCCACACCCAGGCCUGCUCAGGGGUAGGGUUGGGUGAACCUGAGGCUUGGGAAUAUCCCACUGGGGGGAUUGGGAGGCCUGCAAAGGUAGGUAGAGGGCCACGCAGUGAGGGGUGCAGAAGGGAGGGCCUGUGGACAGAGGGGGUGAACCCAAGGACGGCAAGCAGCAGCAGGGACAGGCGUGACCACAGGAGGCCACCUGUGAAGGGAGAAGGCCAGAUUUAGCAGGAGCGUGGACUCCCCGCCUGUUGCUCUUUCCCCCACCAUGUUGUAGCUCCUUAGUGUGGGUCUCCUCCCACCUCACUUCGCAUGGGAACCCUUCUGCAAGUGGCUUCACUUACACCUGUGUCUUGUUCUGUCUGGGCUGCUGUAACAAAAUAUCUGAGGCUGGGUAAUUUAUAAACCACAGAGAGUUAUGGAGGCUGGAAGUCCAAGACCAAGGCACAGGCAGGUUUGAUGUCUGCUGAGGCCUUGACCACUGCAUCACAUGGUGGAAGGCAGACGGGCAGAAAGAGGACAAACACUGUGUCCUCACAGCAGAAGAGAAUGAACCUCCUCCCUCGAGCCCUUUGAUAAGGGCCCUAACCCCAUCUGGAAGGGCUCUACCUGAUGACUUAAUCACCUCCUAAAGGCCCUGCCUCUUAAAACUAUCUCAUGGGGAUUAUGUUUCAAUAUAUAAAUUUUGUGAGACACAUUCAGACCAUAGCAACCUACUAUGUUCUUUUUCCUUAUCUGUAAUGACUGGUUAUGCUUAUAAAUGUUUGAAAGCAAAAGUGCCUUUUCCGUGAAAUUUUGCAUCUGUUUCCAUUUUAUCCCUUCUCUG
rnacentral:lncRNA from 1 species